rnacentral:lncRNA from 1 species
UUGUGGUUUCUUUACUUCCUGAGUUCAAGGCCAGUUUAGGGCUACUUCCUGAGUUCAAAACCUGACUGGACAAGGUCAUGAGAUUGGUCCCUAAAAACAAGAAGCCAGGAAUGGUGGCUCAAGGCAGAGGGAGAAGUGUCAUGAAUUCAAAGUAAGUCUGAGUGAGACCAGUCAGCAUGGGCUAGAGACUGAAACCUUGAAAAAAUAAUGCAAAGUAAAAAAGUGAUCGUAGCAUGGUGGAUCACACUACAGUCCUAUGGCACUGGGAAGGUGGAGUUUAGAACAUUCAGAAUUCAAAGGCCAAGGCAGGAAAAUGGAUCAGUAUGUAGAACACUUGGGCUCAAACCUAACGAACUAAGUUCUAGCCUUAGAGCCCACAUGAAGGUGGAAGGAGAAAAAGGACUCCACAGAGCUGUCAUCUACCUUUACCCAUACACUCAUGGCAUGUCACACACACGCACAUGCACACAUAGUAAUAUGGUUUUUGAAAUAUUUAAAACAAAAAAUUCAAGGCCAGUUUUUGGUUGUAUAGCCAUUUUGAGGCCAGCCUGAGCUACAUGACAUUCUUGUUUAAAAAAAAAAAAAUCGAACAAUCAAAUAAAAAAUACUCAGGGAACUAAAGUGUUUGCUCAACAGUUAGGAGCACUUGUUGCUCUUACAAAAGUCCCAAGAUUAAUUGCCAGAGCCCACAUGAAGGUCCACAAAGAUCAUACCUACAGCCCAGAGAAAUCAGUGUCCAUUUCUGAGUUUCACAGCCUAAACACUCGCGUAUUUAGAAUAGUCACAUAAAUAUUAAAUAAAACAAAAUUUAAUAUAUUUUUAAAGAAAUUAUUUUAUGUAUAUGAGUAUACUGUCACCAUCUUCAGACAGACCAGAAGAAGGCAUCAGAUCUCAUUAUGGAUGGUUGUGAGCCACCAUGUGGUUGCUGAGAAUUGAACUCAGGACCUCUGGAAGAGCAGUCAAUGCUCUUAACCACUAAGCUAUCUCUCCAGCCCUUUUGUUUUUUUUUAAAGAAAUUAAAUAGUCUAAUUUUUUAAAAAAAUUCUGGUCUGAGCAGAAGCCAAAGAAAUUGGGACUAUCUCCUUUGUCUCCAGAUCCCUAGACCCUUAUAGAUUGUCACAGAGAGAAUAGCCACUCUGCCCUUUUCAUUUGUUACAAAGUCCUUUAAAGUCCAGCCCAUGACAGAGGAUACACAGGUCAACAUUCAAUUAGAUAUGACCUUGAAAACAAAAAGUAACCAAUCAGGAGAAUAAAUUAUUUUCUUCUUUAUUGGUUGAAUCAUACAUUCACUCUGUGUGCACAGACACACAACAGAAGACAACCUAGGAUGUCGGUCCAUAUCGUUUACCUUCUUUCAAAACGGGUCUUUUUGUUAUACUUAGGUUUGGUUUGGUUUGGUUUGGGUUGGGUUGGUUUGGUUUGGGUUGGUUUGGUUUGGUUUGGUUUGGUUUAGUUUGGUUUGGUUUUUGAGACAAGUUCUCACUAUGUAGCUCCAGGUGGCCUGAAACUGAAUCUGUAGACCUGACUGGCCUCAAUCUCACAGGCUCCAUCUGCCUCUGCCUCCUAAAUGCUGAGAUUAAAGGUGUGCAGCACUAUACCUGGCUGCUUAUUUUCUUUCUUUCUUCAUGGCUUUUUGUUUGCUUUUGUCUUGUCUUACUUGAGACAGUAUCUCUAUAUGAUUAUGGUUGUCCCUAACCUUGCUCUAUAGAUGGUAUUAGUCUCAAACUCACAGAGAUCCUCCUUCCUCUGCCUUUUGAAUGCUAAGAUUAAGGGAGUUUACCACCACACCUGACACUCAUUUGUUAUUUUUCUUCUGCAUAUGGAAGGCUAGCUGGGCCUUGAAUUUCUGGAGAUUCCUGUCUUCCCAUAGGACGUAUAGACAUACAGAUGCAUGGGCUGUGCGCCCAGCUUUUACACGGGUUCCCAGGAUUCAAACUCACAUUCCUGUGCUUGUGAGAGAAAUACUUCUAUUCACUGAGCCAUCUCCCUAGCCCUAAUUUGUUUGUUUGUUUUGAGAUAGGUUCUCAUGUAGCUCAGGCUAGCCUAGAACUUGCUCUGUAGCUGAGGAUGGCCUUGAAUUCCUGAUCCUCCAACCUCCACGUCUGAGCACUGCAAUUGCAAACAUGGAGAUCAAACUCUGGUCUCGAGCAGUGAAGGCGAGCAUUCUAUCAGUGGAACUACAUUGCAAGCCCCACAGCUAUUUAAAGCAUUCACUGAGUAGUGAGCUGGGCAAUGCUGGCGCAGUCCCUGAAUCCCAGUACUAGACAGGCAGUGACAGGAGGAUCUCUGUAAGUUUGAGGCCAGCCUGGUCUGCAGAAUAAGUUCUGAGAGAGCCAGGGCUACACAGCAAAAACACAUCUUAAAUUUUUUUUUUAUUUUAUGUAUAUGAGUACACUGUAGCUGUACAGAUAGUUGUGAGCCUUCAUCUGAUUGUUGGGAAUUGAAUUUAGGACCUCUGCUCGCUCCAGUCAACCCCACUUGCUCAGUCCCUGCUCACUCCAGCCCAAAGAUUUAUUUAUUAUUAUAAAUGAGUACACUGUAGCAGUCUCCAGAUGCCCCAGAAGAGGGUAUCAGAUCUCAUUACAGGUGGUUGUGAGCCACCAUGUGGUUGCUGGGAUUUGAACUCAGGACCUUCAGAAGAGCAGUCAGUGCUCUUAGCUGCUGAGCCAUCUCUCCAACCGCAGCCUCCACCACCACCACCACCACUAAUACUACCAAACCAAACUUUUCAUUAGAGCAAGGAAGAGGCCUUGAAUUCACCAUCUGCUGUUUCUAGUUCAAGUUCUUGGCUUUUGGGGACAGAGGGAACAAUACUGAAAUGGAUGCGAAGGUAGGGCAGAGGUGGGAUGGCAGUGAGCAAGUAAGGAAGCCUCCUUGGUCCUCCAGAACCAUGACACUGCCUGUCUUCUCUCUACCUAUCCUUGUUGUCUCUGUAACAGUCGAUACAUUGUACGUAGCAGUAGGUUCCCUCAGUGACACAACACCAUAGAGCCAAAGAACUGUGCAAACAGAUGUCUCCCAGUCUUGGCUUUUAGACUUCAUUUUCAAAUUACGC